rnacentral:lncRNA from 1 species
GGAAAACAUACUAGGCUGUGACAAUGCAUUCAAACAGGCUAAGCUCGAAUCGCCGAUGAAAAAGAUGGAUGCAAUGCUUGGAAAGAUCAUUAGCAACACCUUGACCAUUGGUCUCGACAUGGUCCACUUUUAAAGGAACAACUUAUUAAAAGUUUGUGAUUAGGCCAAUAAAAUAGGCCAUGUCAGCGUUCUUUAAUUAUUUAAUGGAAAAGCGAUUAAAAAAAUCAAUUGUUGAAAAUAUUAAUGAUGAAAUUGAAAUUUGUUUUUGUUUGGUGACUAAAAUAGAAUCACUCUAAUAUAUUGUGCUAUUUUUUUAGUAGAAAUUUUAAAAGAUAUGGCCAUAUUAAUUAAUUUCACAUUGACAUAUUAUCAUAUUAAUUAAUAUUAAUUUUAUUAUUAUCAUAUAAUAAAUGAUAUUUUCGUAAAUCCAAAUUUUUUUCAAAACACGUGCUUUUAUAUAUAUCAUAGAUGUAAUUGUUAGUUUAGAAAUGCAAAAAAAGGUACAUGUAUUUAAAAACAAUAAAUAAAUUAUGUAAUAUAUAUUUAUUAUUGAAAACAUUUAAUUAUGUACUUAAGAUAUUUGAAAAUUAAAUAUAUAUAUAUAUGAUAUAUGUUAUAUACACUAGAUAAUAAAAAUAUUAAUAGAAAUAAGAUAAAUAUAUACUUCAUUUUACUUAAAUUAUAUUCAACUCAUCCCUUCCUAAUAUAUUUAGAUUAAUUUGCAACGUAUUUAUUAAAUUCUUUUGGAAUUUAAAUUAUUUAAAUAAUUUAAAAAUUAUCAUAUUAGAUAAUAAGAACUUAAUAUGGUAAAGUGAAGUUCUUUUUUCAAUAAAACUAUAAUUAUAACAAUAAUUAAAAAAUAUCAUAAAACAAAGAUUAUAAGAACAUACCAAUAACUCAUGUUAUUUAUCUUUUAUUUACUAGAUUUUAAAAUUUUAGUCUAGAAACAUUUUUAUUAGAUAUUAUAGGGGUAAAAUGGUAAUUUAAAGAGUCGAAGAUGGAUAGAGCAGAGCAAAUAUUUACCACAACUUCCUCAAUCAAUUUUGCUGACCUACCAUUUAAAAGAAAACCCUCUUAUUUAGAGUAGAGUACUACAAAAUUUAUAGAGCAAUUUAGAUUUUGUCAUCCUAACAAGAACUCUGAAUAUAGUUAAAGCCUAGUAUUGCCCGACCAGUAAUGAAUACAAUUCUAUUUGAGAUUAACCCCUCCUUAUUGACAUGGUUAACAACUAAUAAGCAGUUUAAUGACGACUCAACCAUGGACCAUGUAGCUUUUCCGAGACAGUUUGAACAAAUAUGUAUCAUGGUAGGCUAUGUUGGAGUUUCAGAAGAAGCAAUCAAGUUACUGCUGAUCCCUUUUGCCUUUGGAGGCCAGAUUCAAGAAUGGUUAGAAGCGUUGCCUCCGGGAACAAUUACAACAUGGGAAGAUUUUUUGCAAUGAUUCUUACUAAGGAUUAUACCCAUGCUUGUGAUGUUAAAGACAAAUGAUGAGCUAUUGCAAUUUAAACAAAGUCCCAUCGAAAUGCUUAGUCAAACAUGAGAUAGAUUCAAAAUAAUUGUGCAAAAUGCUCUAGAGGAUGGAAUUAAUACAGUCAUUCAAUUACAACACUUUUAUGUAGGUUUAGAUUAGGAGAGCAAAGAAUAGUUUGAUGUAAUGGUUAGAGGAAGUGUUUGGUCAAAAAAUGCUUAGGAAAUUGUUAUGCACCUUGAAAUAGUAAGCAGUAAUGAUUAUACUUGGAGAAAAAUCAAAGAAAUAGAAUUGAUAGAAGAAGUAAUGAGAACUGAUGAGACGAAAGAAGACAACGAGGAAGACAUGGAAGAACAAUUGAGCGAAAAUGAAGAUUGCACUUCAAAUUUUGAAGAAACCCUAAAAGACGAAUUUUUUGAGAAACUGCUCGAAAAGCAAUUAAAACACAUCUAUCAACAGGACUGGAAAAGACAAUAUAAAAAACCUCUACACCAAUCAGAUAAUCUUUCAGCCAAGAUGACUCUGUCAAUUAUCAAACCACCUGUGUUGGAAUUAAAACCCCUUUCUCGCACACUUAAAAUGCGGGUAUUUGGGUGAUAAUAACACUUUACCAGUAGUCAUUGCACAAGGCUUAUCGGUGGAAUAGUAGAAAACACUCUUGGAUGUACUCAAUGCUCAUAAAAAUCUAUUGGGUGGAAAAUUGCAAACAUUAAAGGAAUCAAUCCAAUUUUAUAUCAGCAUAAAAUAAGAUUGGAUGAAGGAAAAAAUCCAGUGGUCAACAUUCUGUGAUGUCUUAAUCCAACAAUGAAGAAGGUGGUCAAGAAGAAACUGAUAAAGUGUUGGGAUGCAGGAAUUGUCUACCUCAUCUAUGAUAGCAAAUGGGUGAGGCCAACACAAUAUGUUCCAAAAAAGAAGAGGAAUGACAAUGGUGACAAACGAGAAGAAUGAAUUGAUUCCUACUUGGACAGUUACAAGAUGGAGGGUAUGUUUUGACUACAAGAAAAAUAAUAACACAACUAAAAAGCAUCACUUUCCACUGCCAUUUAUAGACCAAAUUCUUGACCAGAUGGGUAGGUAAGAAAUUCCUAUGGAUAUCAUCAAAUCCCUAUCCAUCCGGGUAAUCAGGAAAAGAAUAUGUUUACAUGUCCUUUUGGAAUGUAUGUUUUUCGAAGGAUGUCGUUUGGAAUAUGCAACACUCCAGCUACAUUCAUGUGUUGUAUGACUGCAACUUUUGCAGACAUGUUAGAAGAAGGAUUAGAUAUAUUCAUGGAUGAUUUUUUUUGUUUAUGGAGAUUCAUUCAUAGAAUGUCUACACAAUCUUGAACGAGUUCUAAAAAGAUGUGAAGAAACUAAUUUGGUGCUCAAUAAGGAAAAUAAAGUUUUAUUGUAAAAUAAGGAAUUGUUCUCGGACAUCAUAUUUCCAAAAAAGGUUUGAAGGUUGAUAAAGCCAAGAUUGAAGUGAUGGAGAAGCUAACAUACCCAACAAAUGUUCGAAGAGUGAGAAAUUUCUUAAGACACGCCGACUUUUAUAGACGAUUCAUAAAAGACUUUGCACAAGUCUUAAAAUCGUUGAGCCAACUAUUGUAGAAAGAUGUCCCUUUCGAUUUCAACGAAAAAUGCAUCGAGGCUUUCGACAUUCUAAACUAGAAAUUAGUCUCCGCACCCUGAUAAGUGCUAAAAGUAACAUAUUUUAACCUUGUUUUUAAGGCUUUUUUAGGUGAUUAUUCAAUGUUAAUUGUGAAUUUUAUGCCUCUAAUCCUUUAAAGUCAUGUUUUUAUGCCUAGUAGAGAAUUUGGGAGCAAAAAGAGCAAAAAAAGUGUAAAAAUCAAAAAAUCAGAGCAAGCUACAAGAGCCACAUGGGCUGACCCAUUCCACACAACCGUUUGACCCACUCGGGCUACCACACGGCCAUGUGUUAGGCUAUGUUGAUUGCGCGAAUUUGUACACUGAAUAGAGAAAAAACAUAAUUUUUAGGUUUUUCGAGCAUUCUAAGACGUAUAUAUAUGACAAAAAGAAGAAAAUAGAAGGGAGUCGUCAUAGAAUAUUCAAGAAAACAACUCGAAAAACACCAUUGAAGCCGAUCAUGAAGCAAAUUUUUGUCAAGAUUGAAGAUUCCCAGUUGAUUUCUUAGGAGAUUAUCAUGAGUUCUUUAUUUCUUUCGGUUAUACUGUGUCUUGGAUGUUUCUAUUUUCAAGCAGGAACUAAUUUUCUAAAUACCUAGGGGAGAUGAACCCUAUGAUGAAUUUUGUCUUUUGAUUUUUAUUUUACGCAAUAAAUACUUAAAUAUUAUUCUCAAUUAUGUGAACUUAAUUCUUUGUUUGAUAUUUCUAAAUUAUUGAUCCAUGUUUGAUGUUCUUCAACCAGUGGUUGAAUAAAACCUGUUUAAGAUUAGAUUUUGAGCAAUUGACUGAAGUUGCAUGGAAUCCUAGAAAUAGGACGACAUAAAUCUACUAGAUUAGAGUCAAAUCUAAUUGAGGAAUCCAUAAUUUAAGGAUUUCUAUGGAUCAAGAUACUAAGUAAAGGAAUUGCGCAAUUUAGAUUAGUAGUGACAGAUGAAAUCUAGGCGGAUUCUUUCAUGGGUACUAUUUUUAAUUGAUCACUCGAAUUAUUUAGUUAAAUAAUAGAAAGACGGUAAUUACUAGUACUUAUAAUCCUCGUGGGAAUCGCUCACCGUAGCUAUACUAUUAAUUGAUAGGUGCACUUGCCUUACUCAAACUUUUAGUUAGUUUCGUGGACAUCACAACCAUCAUAGCCAGCCCUAAUUGGACAAAGCCUUUUGUUAUUAUGUUCGAUGCAAGUGAUCAUGCAUUUGGAGUAGUAUUGGGACAAGACAAAAACAAGGUAUUUCACGUUAUUCAUUACGCAAGUAAGACACUUAAUCCAACUCAAUGCAAUUACACUACCAAGGAGAAAGAAAUGUUAGCAGUUGUAUUUUCAUGUGAGAAAUUCAUAUUGUAUCUGAUGUCAAACUGAGUUUAUGUCUAUAUGGACCACUCAACAUUGAAGUACAUGAUAAUAUUAGUGUGUAAGCAAGUCUCAAUAUUAAUUUCAUACAUUUAAGAGACUUGCAUAGGUAAAUGUAUUGAGAGUUUUAGGCACUUAAUUUGUUCUUAUGAUAAUAUUAGUGUGUGCGUGCUAUUUUGUUAAUAAAACCUUGUCUCGUGGUUUUACUUGCUAAAUUCAUUAUGAAUUUAGUGGUAAGAAAAUUGAUGUAACAUCCUGAUUUUUAGUGAUGUCAAAAAUAGUGGUUCAAGGCCACCAAAUCUGGCGAUUAAGCUCGUACAUUUUAUUAUUUAAUAUUUACGAGUCAAAUAUGAUUUUAGAAAGGUUUUUGAAUUAGUAAUUUGUGCUUUAUAAUGAUUUAUUCGAUUAAGUGGUUUUAGAAAAUAAGGUAUCGGGACCUUGUUUCUAUAAACCGAGCCGUAAAUAUUUUUAUAAAUAUUUACGGAGUGUCAAUAAGGUAGUAUUAAAAUUUCGUUGAAAAAUUUUGUUGUUUUGGUAGUCAAUUAAUUAAAAAGGACUAAAUUGAAAAAUGUGCAAAAUUUGCUAAUUAUAAUAACUAAAUGAUUAAAUGGAAUGAUUAAUAAAUAAAGAAUGAUCUAAAUAGCAAUUUUUCCUAAAGGAAAAAGGAUGAGGCAGCAUAAGAGAAGAAAAUAAUAAAAUAAAGCCAUUAAAUGGCAAAAUGGUAAAUAAUUUGAAAUUAAAUAAGACAAAUUGAAUUUAAAAGAAUUUCUAGACAUUUCUUCUUCAUAUUUUUGGUUCAAACAGGGAAGGGGGAGUGCUCAAGCUGGUUUUCAUAUUUUUGCUACAGAUUAAGAUCUGGAGGAAAAUCGAGAAAAAUAUAAAAUUACCAAAAUGCCUCUAAAUCUUGGUAUUUCUGUAGUUUAGCCUGGUAAGUUCAUAUGGCUAAAUUCAAUAUUUUGUUAUGAAAAUUUCAUGAAUAUUAUGGUAUAUUAUUGUAUAUAAAUGUUAUAAAAUUUUGAUUAUUGUAAAAUAAUGCUUAAGUAAAAGUACAAAUUAGUUGGAACGAUGGAUUUGAGUACUUUCGUUCAGAGGCCAAGACGAAUUGAUGGAAAAGACCAUGGUUGGACCAUGGCAACAUGUGAUAUGUGAUUUUCGUAUAAGACCAUAAUUGGGAUAUGGCAUCGAUGUGAUGUGAUUAUGAGUUUCCGUAUAAGACUAUAUUUGGGAUAUGGCAUUAGUGUGAUAUGUGCUACUGUGUAGGACUAUAUCUGGGAUAUGGCAUCAGUGUGAUAUGUGAUCCGUAUAAAACUAUAGCUGGACUAUGGCAUUCUGAUGAUAAGACAUAACUGGGUUAUGGCACUAUGAACGUAAGAUCAUGGUUGGAUUAUGACAGUGUUUAUAUGUAAGACCAUAGCUGGCCUAUGGCAUUCUGGUGAUAAGACCAUAACUAAGUUAUGGCACUAUGAAUGUAAAGAAUGAAUUAACGGAAAAUGUAAAAGAUGAAUUGACGGCAAAUUACCCAAGUAAACCGAGGUUCAACAUUUGUUGUGAACUUUCGUGUUUACUAUCUGUUUAGCUCUCAUGAGCUUCUGUUCAACCUUCGGGCCUCUAAAAACGAGGUACUCAUAUCCGUAAGUCGUUCUUCGAAAGGUAAAAUAUCGGGAGUUGUCUUGAAUAUUAUAUAUAUGUAUAUGAAGAAAUGGUAAGAGAAUGAUAUGUAUUAUAAUAUGUAUUUAUAUCAAUAUCUUGAUAUGUUGAUAUAUGGAAAUUAUGUAAGUGGAGACAAGUAAUGAACUCAAGUGUAACAUGUUGAGAUAGUAAGGUUAUCGAUGUUGAAAUUAUAUGAAAUAUGUUCAAGUACGCUAACAAGUGUUGUUGUUUAAUGCUUACGCAAAUGCCAAGCUAUUAAUUGAAUGGUGAUAUGUUUAAUUAUAAGAUGCAUUGAAAUGGUAAGUGCUCAAAUGAAAAUAUGCUUGUGUUCAUGAAAGAGUGGUAAGUUUAAAGUUAUGUAAUUUCUUAAGAAAAGACUUAUUAUACGAUUAAUUCGAAAAAGGCUAUGUUUAAAUGCAUUAACUUGUGGCUAUGGUUGAAUGAUAUGGUUAUGACUGGUGUGUUAUGCAUAUGGAAUAAGUGUAGAAAGUAAAGAAAUGCAAAUGAAAAUAAAGAAAUUCGAAAGAGUAUAAAGUUGUUUAAAAUCCUAUAUUACUAAGGAUAAUAUGUACAAGCGAUGAUGUGGAUUUAUUUACCUUGUGAGUUGAUGAAUAUAGCCACAUGAGCAUUGUGGUAUCAAUAUUAAAUUAUUCUUGAUAUUUAUAAAUUUCAUAUUUGAAAUGAAUGGUCAUGAUUAAAGUUUAUACGAGCUUACUAAGCAUUUAUAGCUUAUGUACUUGUUUUUCUUUACUUUUCAGAUUAUUAGAAGCUCGAUUGGGUUGGAAGCUUGUCGGAGUUUUAUCACACUAUCCAUUGGUUCUAUCGGUAAUUUUGGAUGAUUUGAUUUUGGUUAUAAUGGCAUGUAUAAGUUGAUUUGGCCAACGUUGGCUCAUUAAUAUUUUUUUUAUUUUGAUUGGUUUCAAAUAUGAAUGCUAGAUGAAAUGAAAUGUCUGAUAAUUAAUUUGUAAAUUUUGGUAAUGCUCCGUAACCCUGUUCUGGUGAUGGAUUAGGGUUAAGGGUGUUACAUUUAUUGGUAUCAGAGCUAUGGUUUAGUCGGGUCUCGAACUAAACGUAGCAUAUGAUAAGUUUAGAAAUACAUGCCAUUAUAUAACAAAUGAUAGUGUGAUAUCUCCCGACUAUAAUGAGAUUUGUUUUAUUUUUAGACAGAGAUACUUUCCAACCGAGCUAAUUUCGAUAAUGCUGAAAGUGAUACUCAAGUAUUUGAUUAAAAAGUUGUUUAUGAUGGGUAGAGACGGAAUUUAUAAAGGUAUGAAAUAAAUGUUUUAUAAUACAUGUCAAUGAUGAAUAUUAUGUUAUAUGUUUGUGUAUAUGAGAGUCAAAUUUAAGGCUUUACGACCUUCACCCCCUUACUUGUGCGUCUUAUACAAUGGAAAUUCACAAGAUUUAUAUUGAUUAAGUUUACAAGUGUGAAAUCAAAGAGUUAAAUGGCUGAAUGAUUAAUAAUGCGGUCAGAACUGAGAAUGGGUUAACAAGUAAAGACGGUUUUAAAAGAGAUAUCAGAUUUUUCUGAAGAUUAUUCGAGAUACAUAAUGUUGUUAUUAAGGAAGAAGUUAUUCACGAGUAAUCAACUUAUUCAGGUAUGGUAUCUAAAGAAUGGGUUAACUGGAAAAUUCUUUUGAAUUGAUUUCUUUAGUGAUUGGGAUAAUGUAAGAAUAUUGAUGACUUUAGUAGUCAGAGGAAUAGUGUUAAAAUUUCAAAGAUAUCUCAAUGUAGCUGUUAUAUUCGAGUAUCUUAUAGUGAUCUCUUCUGGGUAUUCUAUAUUCUUUUAUCUUUAGAGGUAUAUGAAAUUGUUCAUUUUCAGAUGUGAUUCUUAUCAUAUGGAAAGGCUAGUUAAUCAUAACGUUGGACGAAAGUAUUGUUGGUCUGGUUGAUUUAUGAUUGGCAUUGCUCUAUCUUUCUUUGGCAUUCUAUUCUAUUAUGUUUGGUAGAAGAUUUAAUGAUAAAACACAUAUAAUGUUAUUUUAUUUCUUCUACUGGUUGAAGCUCUGAAAUAUAUAUUUGUAAUUUAUGUUGUCCCUGUCACAAUUGAUUUCAGUGCAUAUGAGCGAUAUUCUUCUUCUGGAUUUUCUCUGGGAUAUUAUUGAUCUCUUUAUUAUUCAAUGUGGUUUAUAUUCUCGAAAAUUCAGUAUAGCUUCAUAUUUGGGAUUUUAUUAUCUCAGUUUUUUUAUCAUUCUUAUGGUUUAAUCUUAUCUAUCAAACAUGGUUCGUCUAUAAAAGAUAUUUAUGGGCCGUAGAUAAUUACAUAUAUUACUAUUAUAAAUUCUGGUUUGAACAUGGAAGCAUGGAAAUGUAGAUCUCAGAGUAUAAAGAUCUUAGAGUGCAUUAUUGAUAUUGAGGUAUUAUUCUAUCUAUAUGGUUGAAACGUUGGUCCUAUUAUAGUAUUAUGGUUUGUAAUCUAUCUGAUGGUUGUGGUUUUGGUAUAGCUCAAAGCUUCGAUGUUAAUAAUUGAAAUAGCCCUAUAAUAUAUAAUCCCUCUCUAGUUUUCGGGACAAGGGUUGACAUCGGUAAAAGUGUAGAUGGUGGAAGAUUGAGCUCAAAUUUGUACAUUGGUUUUCAUUCUUCAGGUAAUCUCGAAUUAUGUCAACAAGUAAAUAAUGAGAUGUCAUAAUUCGUUUGAGUUAGUGCAGUUUGUGGUAAUUUUCGGUUGGUAUUCCGAGAGAAUUAUAAUAUAUGGUAUAUCUGGAUUGUCUUAACAAUAAGAAGAAGAGAUUAUUCUAAAAAAUUAUUCUUUGAUAGAUAUAAUCGACUCAGUCAUUCUAAUCAGAGUGGGUUAUUCAUUUGAAAGGUUAAUUGAGUUAUACACAUUUGAGUUUAUCUUCAGGUUCGAGAAUAAAUUUUGUACAUUCACGGGUAAAUUGACAAACCGUCAGAAUAAGUGAUUCAUAUUCUUGUAGACAUGAUACAGAAAUCUAUCUAUUAGAUCAGUUCUAAUUAGGAAAUGGUAUUAUGGACUAAAGUCGUUUCAAUAGUGAAGCUAUUGUGCUUGUGUUAAACAAUAUUGCUUGACACUUUCCAUAUAAGGAGAAAUAAAUAUAAGUUGAGAGUUACAGAUGUAGACAUGCUAGAAGCAUUAGUUUUGAUAAAUAAGGUUUCUUCGUUAUGUUUCGUUAGACGAUUACUGGGAGUUUCUCGAUAAUUGUGUUACUGAUGAUAAAGACAUGACGGGAGAAGAUCAUAGUUGUUCAGUUAAGUUCUGAAAUGAUAUCAAUUUUAAUAUGAAUUCUAAUGUGAUAAAUUUCGAGGAUGAAAUUUCCUAAGAGGGAGAGUUAUAAUAAAAUUUACGGGCUUACUCGCUAGAUUUGGUGGCCUUGAACCACUGUUUCUGACAUCACUGAAAAUCGAGCUGUUACAAUCGAGACUUCAAAAAUACAAACGUAAGGGAAAUUAUUAUAGGGUGCGAUUGAUUAGGUUCACUUUGUAUAAUUGUUAAAGAGAGUGGAUAUUUCUUUCUAAUCUAGGCUCCACAGACAUAGAAAAAUCGAACUGCGUGAACAACUCCAUGUUUUCCCGUGUUCACUAUUUUACAAUUAGUGGUUUAAAGAGUGCCCACCUUCUUAAACACCACUUCACCUGAGCAAGUACGAUUCUCAACAAUGUCUAAAUUAUUUCAACCUCAUAGGUUUUUAUUUUUAUUUUCAUUUUCUUAACAAUUUUGAAUGAUUUCAAAUUUCAAAUUUACUUUUCUUUUGCUUGUAACAUGGUAAUUUUGCCAUUUUAUUAAUAAAUUAUUUUUUGCUGGGAUUUUUUUUAGGAUUUUCUUGUUUCAUAUAUCUAUUUUUUCUCUAACUAAGAAGGGAAAUUAAAUAAAAGAAAAAGUAGUUAAUUAUAUGCUAAAAUUAGAUUGUGUGGACAUAUCUUACGGUGAGACUAUUUUUAUGAAGGUCGAAAAAAUACUAUAAAAGCUUCACUAGUUCCACUUCCUUAAUUCACCUCUUUCAUUUUAUUUUCCUAUUGUGUUUCAUCCAAAAUAAGAGAAGAGACCAUGGAGGUCAACCAUUUCAUCCUCGCCCUUAUCUCUCUCUCUUGUCUCUUCUCUGUCUCUGCUAAUGCCCCUCCACCCUUUUCCAAUGCUUUUAGCCCUGCUUCUUCAGAACUUUAUGAUAUGAUCGCGGUCAUGUCUGAAUCACCGUCACCAUUUGCAUUCGAUGGUACAACAUUGGAAAGCAUUGAUGAUUUAUUGAGCAUACUACCUGGUGGUGUCGACCCUGCCCUUCAGCAAAUCUGUGGGAACACCGAUCACCCCGUCGAAUGUAUCAUAGCAACUAUGCCAUUCCUAGAUGAGAAUGCUCCUAUUGAGCCUCUUUCUGUCCUUAAAGCUGGGAUUAAAGCAAUGGAUAACCAGACCAAAAAUGCAUUGGCGGAGGUUACAAAGCUUUCAAUGGACCCCACUACCCCUAAAACUAUUGUUCCCAUCCUCCAAACAUGCAUUGAUGUCUACAAUAACAUUCUUAACAGUGAUCAAAAAUCCCUUGAAGCCAUCUCCAACCAUAACCUUGUUCAGUUGAGCACAGAGCUAGGCACCAAUGUGGAAAAUGUACUCGGUUGUGACAAUGCUUUCAAACAGGCUAAGCUUGAAUCUCCAAUGAAGGACAUGGAUGCAAUGCUUGCAAAUAUCAUUAGCAACACCUUGACCAUUGGUGUCGACAUGGUCCACUUUUAGAGGAACAAACGAUUAAAAGGACGACUACAAACACAUGAAGCCUAAGUGGGAUAUUAUAAUUUUAUUGUUUCAUCCUUUGAAAAGAAGCAGGAAGUAUAUAAGAACCUUAGUCACUAUUUCUUAUUGUUAAAUGAAGAUAUAAUUUGCUCAAGAAUUAC